AUGAACGCUAGCUACAGGCUUAACACAUGCAAGUCGAGGGGCAGCAUUUUAGUUUGCUUGCAAACUGAAGAUGGCGACCGGCGCACGGGUGAGUAACACGUAUCCAACCUGCCGAUAACUCCGGGAUAGCCUUUCGAAAGAAAGAUUAAUACCGGAUAGCAUACGAAUAUCGCAUGAUAUUUUUAUUAAAGAAUUUCGGUUAUCGAUGGGGAUGCGUUCCAUUAGUUUGUUGGCGGGGUAACGGCCCACCAAGACUACGAUGGAUAGGGGUUCUGAGAGGAAGGUCCCCCACAUUGGAACUGAGACACGGUCCAAACUCCUACGGGAGGCAGCAGUGAGGAAUAUUGGUCAAUGGGCGCGAGCCUGAACCAGCCAAGUAGCGUGAAGGAUGAAGGCUCUAUGGGUCGUAAACUUCUUUUAUAUGGGAAUAAAGUUUUCCACGUGUGGAAUUUUGUAUGUACCAUAUGAAUAAGGAUCGGCUAACUCCGUGCCAGCAGCCGCGGUAAUACGGAGGAUCCGAGCGUUAUCCGGAUUUAUUGGGUUUAAAGGGAGCGUAGGUGGAUUGUUAAGUCAGUUGUGAAAGUUUGCGGCUCAACCGUAAAAUUGCAGUUGAAACUGGCAGUCUUGAGUACAGUAGAGGUGGGCGGAAUUCGUGGUGUAGCGGUGAAAUGCUUAGAUAUCACGAAGAACUCCGAUUGCGAAGGCAGCUCACUAGACUGUCACUGACACUGAUGCUCGAAAGUGUGGGUAUCAAACAGGAUUAGAUACCCUGGUAGUCCACACAGUAAACGAUGAAUACUCGCUGUUUGCGAUAUACAGUAAGCGGCCAAGCGAAAGCAUUAAGUAUUCCACCUGGGGAGUACGCCGGCAACGGUGAAACUCAAAGGAAUUGACGGGGGCCCGCACAAGCAGUGGAGUAUGUGGUUUAAUUCGAAGCAACGCGAAGAACCUUACCAGGUCUUGACAUCGAUCUAAAGGCUCCAGAGAUGGAGAGCUAGCUAUAGAGAAGACAGGUGGUGCAUGGUUGUCGUCAGCUCGUGUCGUGAGAUGUUGGGUUAAGUCCCGCAACGAGCGCAACCCUUAUCCUUUGUUGCCAGCGCGUAAUGGCGGGAACUCAAAGGAGACUGCCGGUGAUAAACCGGAGGAAGGUGGGGAUGACGUCAAAUCAGCACGGCCCUUACGUCCGGGGCUACACACGUGUUACAAUGGGGGGUACAGAAGGCGGCUACCUGGUGACAGGAUGCUAAUCCCAAAAACCUCUCUCAGUUCGGAUCGAAGUCUGCAACCCGACUUCGUGAAGCUGGAUUCGCUAGUAAUCGCGCAUCAGCCACGGCGCGGUGAAUACGUUCCCGGGCCUUGUACACACCGCCCGUCACACCAUGAGAGUCGGUAACACCCGAAGCCGGUGGCCUAACCGCAAGGAAGGAGCUGUCUAAGGUGGGACUGAUGAUUGGGGUG
rnacentral:rRNA from 1 species